GACGUAGGGUCCGAGCGUUGUCCGGAGUUACUGGGCGUAAAGAGCGCGCAGGCGGUCGUUCAAGUCGAGUGUGAAAGCCCCCGGCUCAACUGGGGAGGGUCAUUCGAUACUGAUCGACUCGAAGGCAGGAGAGGGUAGUGGAAUUCCCGGUGUAGUGGUGAAAUGCGUAGAUAUCGGGAGGAACACCAGUGGCGAAGGCGACUACCUGGCCUGUUCUUGACGCUGAGGCGCGAAAGCUAGGGGAGCAAACGGG
rnacentral:rRNA from 1 species